rnacentral:lncRNA from 1 species
GUUUUUUCUUUUCUUCAGAUAAAUAAGUUUAUGGUUCAACGAUUUCAACUACAUGUAGUACGAAAUAAAAAUAAAUUAUUUAACAUAUAUAUUAUUGUUUGUAAACAAGGGCUUGCUUACGGAAAUCACAAUAUUUGUUUCUCCCCUUCCGACUAAACAGGAAACCCCAAUAUAGGUUAUCGACCACAAUUACAUCAAAUAUGUAUACUUUACAAUGUACUCUUAACUAUUCAGCAAAUUGAUGAUGGAAGUCUAUAGCACGGCGGUUUGACAGUCGAGUUCGUCCCAAAUACCAAUAUAGCUAUUCACGAAGUUACCCCAAUGCAUAUAUGAAUAUGAUUCCAUUCAGAUGCGGAUCCAGGAUUCUGAAAAAAGGAGAACCCACUAACAAAAUAACCGGCAUAAGGGGUGGGAUUUGUAAAUACUCUAUGCAUAGUAACAAUGUAUAUCUAUAUUUUUAUUAUAACAGUGGCGGAUCCAGAACUUUUUAUAAGGGAUUAGGGGGGACACUGUGUGCCAUAAGAGGGGGCCCGCUACAGUUAUGCUUUAGUGAUUCCUUAUCAACAAAAAAUUUCGAACGAAAGUCCCUAGCCCCCCUGAAUCCACCUAUGUAUAAUUUAACCAUAUUCUGAGAUUCUUAAAAGGGGGAGUUCGAGACUCCCUUUCUUCUCCUAAAUCCGCAUCUAGAUUAAACUUUGUCUAUAACAUAUGUUGUAAGUGAAGAGAUACCAGUUAACUGUUAGCUCGAGUUCCUUUGACAUAACUGUACUUAUAUGUAAUAUAAACAUUGUCCAUCAUGAUGUCCUUGAAGAGUACGGCUUUCGGAAAAGCAAAACAUACAUGUUAUUACCAAACAGCUAAUUAUAAAAUAUUACAUUUGUCCAGUUGUCACAUUAAACUAAAAUUCAUGGCGUCCGAACGUCUAAAUGGCAAUAUAUUUAUCAUUAAGAAUUAAUAGGCUAUCUGAAUACACAUCCUUACAC